AAGAAAUGUUGUUGUAAUAUUAAUUACUAAAAAAAGCAUAUUUAACCUCAGACGCGAAAUGCAUUUAACCUCGGCUACAAAGGCGAGGUAACGAAGAGCGUCAUGAAAAGUGAACACUUUACCUUUUUGGAAUUCUGAAAUGGUGAAAACACAUGUCCCCUCAGUUUUGUAAUUACACCGACGAAUAUACCACAUUUCACCUCAGUUAUCUCAUAAAAUCGAGGGGUAAAAU
rnacentral:lncRNA from 1 species